rnacentral:rRNA from 1 species
CCUACGGGCGACAGCAGUGAGGAAUAUUGGUCAAUGGACGAGAGUCUGAACCAGCCAAAUAGCGUGAAGGAUGACUGCCCUAUGGGUUGUAAACUUCUUUUAUCAAGGAAUACAACGAGGCACGUGUGCCUUUUUGCAUGUACUUUAUGAAUAAGGAUCGGCUAACUCCGUGCCAGCAGCCGCUGUAAUCCGGAGGAUCCGAGAGUUAUCCGGAUUUUGUGGGUUGAAAGGGAGCGUAGAUGGGUUGUUAAGUCAGUUGUGAAAGUUUGCGGCUCAACCGUAAAAUUGCAAUUGAUACUGACAGUCUUGAGUACAGUUGAGGUAGGCGGAAUUCGUGGUGUAGCGGUGAAAUGCUUAGAUAUCACGAAGAACCCCGAUUGCGAAGGCAGCUUACUAAACUGUGACUGACAUUGAUGCUCGAAAGUGUGGGUAUCAAACAGGAUUAGAUACCCGUGUAGUC